UAUUAUUCACACCAAGCCGGCCUCGUUAGCGUUUGAUCAUGGCUCAUGAAAGAACGCUGGCGGCGUGCCUAAUUCCUGCAAGGUCGUAGCGGUCCGGCACUCAACUAAGUGCUUACUUAAGGGGAAGGAAGUAUAGUAGAAGAAGAAAGUAAUAAAAGUGGUGCAAAGUAAGGUAAGCACGGAGUUGAGUGCCGGAUAGCGGCGGACGGGUGAGUAACGCGUGGGCAACCUACCCUUAAGACCGGGAUAACACCUCGAAAGGGGUGCUAAUACUGGAUAAGCUCCUUGUAGGGCAUCCUAUGGGGAGGGAAGGUAGCGGAAGCUACCGCUUAAGGAUGGGCCCGCGUCCCAUCAGCUAGUUGGUAGGGUAACGGCCUACCAAGGCGACGACGGGUAGCCGGCCUGAGAGGGUGGUCGGCCACACUGGGACUGAGACACGGCCCAGACUCCUACGGGAGGCAGCAGUGGGGAAUCUUGCGCAAUGGGCGAAAGCCUGACGCAGCGACGCCGCGUGAGCGAAGAAGGCCUUCCGNGUCGUAAAAGCUCGAUAGUGUGGGAAGAAUAGAUGACCGUACCCCACGAAAAGCCCCGGCCUAAAUAUGUGCCAGCCUGCCGCGGUAAAGUCCUACGGGGGCGAACCGUUGUCCCGGAAUUACUGGGGCGUUAAAGGGUGCGCAAGCCGCCCCUUUAGGUCCACGUGGUAAAAAACCCGGGCUCACCCCGGGGGAUGCACUUGAAACUGGGUGGCUAUAGGGCUCGUACAAGGCGAGUGGAAAUUCCCCGGUGUAGCGCUGAAAUGC
rnacentral:rRNA from 1 species